rnacentral:rRNA from 1 species
UGCGCAGGCGGAGCGAUCAGUCAGUGGUGAAAUCCUACGGCUCAACCGUAGAACUGCCAUUGAUACUGUCGUUCUUGAGUAUAGUUGAAGUGGGCGGAAUGUGUCAUGUAGCGGUGAAAUGCAUAGAUAUGACACAGAACACCAAUCGCGAAGGCAGCUCACUAAACUACUACUGACGCAAAGGCAAGAAAGCGUGGGGAGCGAACAGGAUUAGAUACCCUGGUAGUCC